rnacentral:rRNA from 1 species
UCUUUGGAUACAGUGGCGAACGGGUGAGUACACGUAGGUAACCUGGCCAUACCUGGGGGAUAAUUUCUGGAAACGGAAACUAAUACCGCAUGGGUUUUGCUUAAGCCUUUAAGCGAAAUGAAAGAAGCGCGAGACGCUUCGGGGAUGGAUGGUCCUGCGCUGCAUUAGCUGGCUGGUGAGGCAACGGCUCACCAGGGCGAUGAUGCAUAGCCGGCCUGAGAGGGCGGACGGCCACACUGGGACUGAGACACGGCCCAGACUCCUGCGGGAGGCAGCAGUAGGGAAUUUUCGUCAAUGGGGGCAACCCUGAACGAGCAAUGCCGCGUGAGCGAAGAAGGUCUUCGGAUUGUAAAGCUCUGUUGCCGGGGAAAAAGGAAGGAAAGAGGAAAUGCUUUUCUUUGGAUGGUACCCGGCCAGAAAGUCACGGCUAACUACGUGCCAGCAGCCGCGGUAAUACGUAGGUGGCAAGCGUUAUCCGGAAUGAUUGGGCGUAAAGGGUGAGCAGGCGGUUCUUCAAGUCAUGAGUGAAAGGCAGAAGCUUAACUUCUGUUGGCUGAUGAGACUGGAGAACUUGAGUACAGGAGAGGGCGGCGGAACUCCAUGUGUAGCGGUAAAAUGCGUAGAGAUAUGGAAGAACACCAGUGGCGAAGGCGGCCGCCUGGACUGAAACUGACGCUCAGGCACGAAAGCGUGGGGAGCAAAUAGGAUUAGAUACCCUAGUAGUCCACGCCGUAAACGAUGAGGAGCAGGUGUCGCAAUGAAAUGCGGUGCCGAAGCCAACGCAAUGACUCCUCCGCCUGGGGAGUAUGCACGCAAGUGU